CAACUACUCCCUCCGUCCGAAAAAGCUUGUCCCUCAAAUAGAUGUAUCUAGCACCAAGUUAGUGCUAGAUACAUCCAUUUAAGAAAUAAGGUUGGGACAAGUUUUUUCGGACGAAGGGAGUAUUUA
rnacentral:pre_miRNA from 1 species